UUCUAGUUUUCUUCCCACCCGUGGCUCCUCCGUCCUCUCCGCCCCGUACGCUCUUGACUGACUGAACCGAUCCGGCGACCCCUGCCUCCCUCGGAGAGCAUCCCCCCACCGGAUCAGCUCCUCCUCUGGUGGACCGCGCUGCCGUGGGCGCUGAGCGAAGGCCUCCGGUGGAUCCGUCCCGCGGAGCACCGAUCGCGCUCUGAUUUUCGGCCGUUUUGUUGGGGGCCUGACAGCCAAGCGGAGGUGAGGGGAGGGGGGCGAGGCGAGCAAGGAAGUAGCCUGAAGGUGGGGUGAGAAAGGGAAGCAGAGGAACCAAGAUUCAAUAUAAUUUUGUGGUACACAGAAGAGUAACACAUCAAAGACAGCGCAAAUACAUAACCAUCAGCAUGCCUUUUUUCCUUACUGUUUUUUCAUGGUUUCUCUGGUCAUCUAUGUGCACAGUUUGACCCAGUGAAGCUGAAGAAACUUGGGGCCAGCGUUUAAGAAGAAUUGGCCUGUAACAGCUGGCAGUUCUUCUACUAUAAGGUCUCAAGAUUCACAAAUAGCCUCAUUCUAGUGGAUACGAUCAAGAAAGCGACAGUUUGGUCACACUUGGAUCCGAGAGUUCAUGGCCGGUGCUCCAAGUUAAAGAGCCAGUCAUGUUAUAAUAGCUACAUAAAUGUUCAAGUAUCUCGAUUCUUAAAAAGGGCCGCAAGAUGACUGUAAUAGAUUUCAUAGAUCUGAGUGAUCAUGAUAUUAUUGACUUGAGCAGCAGCGAUGAUGAGACUGUUCAGGAGGAUCAUAUUGCAACUCAGCACCGGGCGGCGUCGCUUGAUAGGCAGACUAUGCAUGUCGUAGCUGGUGAAGGAAUCCAAGAUGUGCAGGCUGCGUUUGUUGCAGCUAGUGAAGGAAGGCAAGAUGUGCAGGCUGUGUUUGCUGCAGCUAGUGAAGGAAGACAAGAGGCUGCUGAUUGCGGACAUGCUUUGGAAGCCACCACAUCGUCCUUGGUUACGGAAAAAGAACCUCUUGUUGCAGCUAGUGAAGGAAGCCAAGAUGUGCAAGCUGUGCUUGUUGCAGCUCGUGAAGGAAGCCAAGAUGUGCAGGCUGCGUUUGUUGCAGCUAGUGAAGGAAGCCAAGAUGUGAAGGUUGUGCUUGUUGUAGCUACUGGAGGAAGUCAAGAAGCUUCUGACUCUGGAAAUGGUUUGGAAGCUACAGCAUUGUCUUUGGUUACUGAAAAAGCACCUCUUGAUAUGGCUGAAUCGCACAACUGUCCUCGCUCUCCCACAUCAGCGCCGUUCCCCAGCCCGACUUCUACCGUUCUGAAGGCUCCGACCUUUGAAGGUGGCGAUGCAAAGCUGGUAAGAGGAAAGGUGAAGCGUCCCAGGAAGAACUACCACACCGGUACUCCUAGGACAAGUCCUAGGUUUGAACUGAAGCCUGAAUGUCGGAACGGGCCUCUAGAAGAGCUGCCAGCCGAGGCACUGACCUCUGAAGGUGGCGACACGGAGCUGGUGAGAGAGAAGAUGCAACAUCCUGGGAAGGAUUACCAUUCCGGCACUCCUGGGACAAGUCCUAGGUUUGAACCGAAGCGUGAAUGUCAUAACGGGCCUGUGAAAGAGCUGCCAGCCGAGGCUCUGACAUCUGAAGGUGGCAACGCAAAGCUGUUGAGAGGGAAGGUCAAGCAUCCUCGGAUGAACUACCAUACCAGCACUCCUAGGAUAAGUCCUAGGUUUGUACCGAAGCUUGAAUGCCAUAACAGGCCUGUGGAAGAGCUGCCAGCCAAGGCUCUGACCUCUGAAGGAGGCAAUGAAGAGCUGGUGAGAGGGAAGCUGAAACAUCCUAGGAAGAACUACCCUGCUGGCACUCCUAGGACAAGUCCUAGGUUUGAACCAAAGCAUGAAUGUCAUAACGGGUCUGUGGAAGAAAUGCCAGCCAAGGUUCUGACCUCUGAAGGUGGUGAUGCUGAGCUGGUGAGAGGGGAAGUGAAACUUUCUAGGAAGAACUACCAUACCGGCACUCCUCGGACAAGUCCUAGGUUUGAAACAAAGCGUGGAUGUCGUAACGGGUCCGUGGAAGAGCUGCCAGCUGAGGUUCUGACCUCUGAUGGUGCUGAUGCAGAGCUGGUUAGGGAGAAGGUGAAACAUGCUAGGAAGGAUUACCAUACUGGCACUCCUAGGACAAGUCCUAGGUUUCAACUGAAGCUUGAACGUCACAAGGGGCCCGUGGAAGAACUGGCAGCCGAUCACAAGAGGUUCCGCACACUAGAAGAAUUAAUUGCCUCUCCUGACAAUGCAAAAUCUGCGAAGACCCCGUCUACUGACUCUCUGAACUAAGUGUGGUCGGAGCUCACGUUGCCCCAUGUAUUUCUGAGUUAUAUUACCAUUGCACCAAAUCCGUCUAGAUUAUAACUUGUGGCUGACUGUUGACUGCAAUACUCUCGAUGUUCACGUGCAUUUCUGUGAGAUAAUGCCUGACAAGCUGCUGAUUCCAGUUGAAUAUCUCAGAGACUUUGAACCUGUUUUGUUUCUCAUGCACAUUUUGAUGUACUUGGAGAAGAGAUGAAUUUAGGACUGAAGGCUGAACAACAUCAGUAGUACUUGAAGAAUGCUGUUCCUUGGGAGUUGAGAAACAACAUCAGGCUGCAAGCUGAGAUGUAAGUGCGCAUUAAUCAUGUAACCAACCAGCAAUAGGUUGAAAGUUGUGAGCAACUGCAGCGUGAAAUUUGUGGAAAAACUCUGUUUUUUAUGUGGUGGUUGGAACUAUAUUUAGUUGUGUUCACAAGGGAAUUUUACAACUGUGAAGGUUGAACAACUCCGUCAGUUAGUGCUACUUGUUUGAACUAUUUUUUUGGCGAGGGUACUUACUUGAAGUUCUGACCCUCUUCUAAUAAUGUUGUGCAAGCAUAAUAAUAUUCUGGAGACAUAUUGUUUGAAA